CUGAGGAGGAGGAAGAUGAGGAUGAGGAGGAUGAGGAUGGAGGCGCUGAGGAUGAGGAAGAUGGGGGCACUGAGGAAGAGGAGGAGGAAGAUGAGGAGGAGGAAGAUGAGGAUGGAGAUGCUGAGGAUGAUGAUGAUGGGGGCGCUGAGGACAAGGAUGAAGGCACUGAGGAGAAAGAGGAGGAAGAUGAGGAGGAGGAAGAUGAGGAUGGAGGCACUGAGGACGAGGAUGAAGACGAUGAGGAUGAGGAAGAUGGGGGCACUGAGGAAGGUGAGGAGGAGGAAGAUGAGGAGGAGGAUGAUGGGGGCGCUGAGGACAAGGAUGAAGGCACUGAGGAGGAGGAGGAGGAGGAAGAGGAGGGAGCUGAGGAUGAAGGCACUGAGGAUGAGGAGGAGGAAGGUGGGGGCGCUGAGGAUGAGGAUGGGGAGGAAGAGGAUGAGGAUGGAGGCCCUGAGGAGGAGGAGGACGGGGAUGAAGGCCCUGAGACCACGCGCGGAGGCCCCGAGGAUGAGGAGGGCGAGGCCCC
rnacentral:lncRNA from 1 species